GUGGGGGAUAUUGCACAAUGGGGGAAACCCUGAUGCAGCGACGCCGCGUGAAGGAAGACGUACUUCGGUAUGUAAACUUCUAUCAGCAGGGAAGAAGAUGACGGUACCUGACUAAGAAGCCCCGGCUAACUACGUGCCAGCAGCCGCGGUAAUACGUAGGGGGCAAGCGUUAUCCGGAUUUACUGGGUGUAAAGGGAGCGUAGACGGUGAAGCAAGUCUGAUGUGAAAACCCGGGGCUCAACUCCGGGAUUGCAUUGGAAACUGUUUUACUUGAGUGCUGGAGGGGCAAGCGGAAUUCCUGGUGUAGCGGUGAAAAGCGUAGAUAUCAGGAAGAACACCGGUGGCGAAGGCGGCUUGCUGGACAGUAACUGACGUUGAGGCUCGAAAGCGUGGGGAGCAAACAGGAUUAGAAACCCGAGUAGUCC
rnacentral:rRNA from 1 species